UCUCAUGCCGGGAUUUAGAUUAGCUCCUACGUAAACAUUUUUCUCUGGCCAUUGUUCAAAUAACACCACAACCUCGAGUUCUUCUAUUGUCGUUUUGAUGUUCUCAUUUUCUUCAGGUUCUUGAAUUACAUCGGGCCUCGAAUCUAAAUAUGUUGUUUCAGUUGAAGUUUGGUUGCUGACACCUUCAACUGUUUCCCAUAAUUG
rnacentral:lncRNA from 1 species